GCAAGCUCAGUUGGAAGAGCAUGAAACUCUUAAUCCCAGGGUCAUGGGUUUGAGCCUCACAUUGGGCA